AAGACUAUAGACCUGCGGAGUACCUGCGGAAGGAUCAUUCACAAUAAAGUGUUUUAUGGCACUUUUUUUUAAAAAAAAUCCAUAUCCACCUUGUGUGCAAUGUAAAAAGAAAGAGAUAAUAGCUAGAGUUUGUAAUAGAGCUCGAGUUCUUUUUCUCUUUUUUUUUUCUUACAAAACACCUUUUUAUUUAUCUAUUGUCUAAAGUCUAUUAUGAAUGAAUAAUUCAAAAUACAACUUUCA
rnacentral:misc_RNA from 1 species